GUCCGGCGGGGACAGCGGCGGGCAGCGCUCGGCCUCGGGGACACGCGUGUGCCGGGCUCCGCUGCUGCCCCCGCCGAACCGGCCUGGGCUCAGCUCUGACACCGGAGAGCGGGGCACUGCCCGGGGCUGGCAGCGGGGCUGGGCGCAGAUCCCCCCGGGUAUCGUUUCACCCUCGGGGAAAUCAAGGCAGGAGGGAUUUUUCCAAGUUCUUUUGGCAAAGCAGGGGGAAAGCUGCAAAACAAAGACGGAUCCCGUUACUCUCCAUCCCGUGCUUGCUUUGGAUAUGGUGCAACUGUGAGGGCACAGACGCGAUAGGGGAUCCACACACGAAACCAAAGGGAACCCACCAGGCAGGACACGGCUCGGGAGGAAAGUGAGAGACGUGCAGGAGAACGUGGAGCCCAAAGUUUUUCGAUUUGUGGGAACUAUUCAGCUGAGGAAGGAUACAGCAUAACUCACCAAUUACUUAGUAAGAACAUAACAUUUUCGAGGAAAAAAAAAUCUGAUGCAAUAGCAUCCAGAUUCCUCUACAUUCAUGGGUGAAACAAUACAGACAUGAGGAGGGGAACAGGAGGAGACCAGCAUGGUGAAAAGGUGGAGGGAAGAAUCCCAUCCUCACUGCUCAUCUCUGUCAUGAAUUAAAUUCUGCUCUCCAGUUUGCCUUUUCUGCUGUAGAAGCCGCAACUUUCCAGCUCCAUCAUCAGACCUACAGUAAAGCAUUGCAGAGGCAUUUUCUUCCUGGAAAUUGUCUUCUUUUCCAGGAUUUCUUGCAAGCUUUCCAUUUCAUGCAAACCAGGUCUGCAGCAGCUGUCCCUGGAAUGACACCAGCUUUGGGGGGUGAUGCUGUUAGUUUAGUGGUGAUGGCUCAAACACUGAAGUGUUUAUCAGAAGGUCUGUGGACUGAGGGUCAUGCUGUCCAAAGAGGCUGGCUGAAAUUUCUGAUGCUUCUUGGUGCAGUUUUGUCCCAUUUAUUAUUUUUUUUAUUAUUAUUAUUAUUAUUUCCCUUGCAGUAGCUCUUAGCAGGACAGUAAGAUCAGUAAGAUCACACUGAAGCUGCUCAGCCACAGGGCUGCAGCCUGGAACAGCACAGAGGGGCAGAGCUGGGGCACAGGGAAAGGGAGGUGAUGCCAGAAGUUGACAGCAGCAGCAAUGCCCGGGGUGCUGUGGGCAGUGUGUUGGAGGGGAGCUGGAGGAGAAGUGAGGAGUUCCAGAGCAGAGUGUCCCUGCUAAUAGGGUGGUGUGGGAAGAGAGCACAGAGGUGGUGUGAGAAGGUCUCUAGGGGGUAGGAGGGGACCUUGCCUAAAAGUCUGACUUAAGUAGUGUUGCAAUAAAGGCUGCAAAAUAGAGAAGUAAAAUUGAAAUGUAUUUCUGGGCAUGGUCUGGCUCUCUUUUCCUUUCCUAGCCCCAGGUCCCUCUUUAUUCAGCCGCAUACCAUGCGCCAACAACAACUCACAAGUUGUACCUGGCAGAGGCCAGGUUUGAAUCUAUUGCUCUCCACUUACUCUUACAAAAUGUCAGACAGGGACAAUGUCUCAACUUGGGGAGAGGUUGGCUCUCCUUCUGUCUGCCCCAGCUCUUAGACCAGGCUCGGCACUUUGCUUCAUUUUAACAUAAAAAACGAUUGCCACAUGCAUUCCGCCUCCUGAACCCGCUGCUGGAUGCUCUGCCUGGCCCAGUCUCAGGGCCCAAAGCUCCCCAGGCAGUCCCAGGCCAUGUCUCCUGGACUCCUUCACUUCUUUUGUUACAGACUAGAACCCUCCCCCCCUCAAAUGCUCCCUCAUCCUAUUCCCACGUGACAUGGUGAUGCUCGGGUUUUUGUUGGUCUUCUGCUGAUUUUCUGCUCACCUCUGACCCAGCAGGCUUGGCCUUUGCAGCGCUGGGUUGCUCAAUCCCCCUUUAUCUGCACGUUGCUCUUUGCCCUGACGAGAGCCACGGAGACGACACCUGGAGAUUGGCACCGGUGGGACAACAUGAGCGAAAUACCUUCCCUGACCACACGGAAAAUUUUCCAGAGCAAAUUUGAGGUCAGAGCACCCACUCUGGGGCUCUGCAAAGGAAAGGAGGGAGGGAGAGCCAGAGCACACCCUGGAAGGGAACAGUGACAGAGCAGAAACCACAGUCUCUGUCCUGCAUGGCAGAGGGAGUCUGUGCUGGAGCAGUUUUGCUGGCAAGAUGUGGGCUGUCAGUCUGAGCAGGGACAGAGAGAGAUGACUUUGUAUCUUACA